rnacentral:rRNA from 1 species
GAUGAACGCUGGCGGCGUGCUUAACACAUGCAAGUCGAACGGUGAACACGGAGCUUGCUCUGUGGGAUCAGUGGCGAACGGGUGAGUAACACGUGAGCAACCUGCCCCUGACUCUGGGAUAAGCGCUGGAAACGGCGUCUAAUACUGGAUAUGUGACGUGACCGCAUGGUCUGCGUUUGGAAAGAUUUUUCGGUUGGGGAUGGGCUCGCGGCCUAUCAGCUUGUUGGUGAGGCAAUGGCUCACCAAGGCGUCGACGGGUAGCCGGCCUGAGAGGGUGACCGGCCACACUGGGACUGAGACACGGCCCAGACUCCUACGGGAGGCAGCAGUGGGGAAUAUUGCACAAUGGGCGCAAGCCUGAUGCAGCAACGCCGCGUGAGGGAUGACGGCCUUCGGGUUGUAAACCUCUUUUAGCAGGGAAGAAGCGAAAGUGACGGUACCUGCAGAAAAAGCGCCGGCUAACUACGUG